rnacentral:rRNA from 1 species
AACGAACGCUGGCGGCAUGCCUAACACAUGCAAGUCGAACGAGACCUUCGGGUCUAUUGGCGCACGGGUGCGUAACGCGUGGGAAUCUACCCUCAGGUUCGGAAUAACUCAGAGAAAUUUGAGCUAAUACCGGAUGAUGACUUAAGUCCAAAGAUUUAUCGCCUGAGGAUGAGCCCGCUUAGGAUUAGGUAGUUGGUGAGGUAAAGGCUCACCAAGCCGAAGAUCCUUAGCUGGUCUGAGAGGAUGAUCAGCCACACUGGGACUGAGACACGGCCCAGACUCCUACGGGAGGCAGCAGUGGGGAAUAUUGGACAAUGGGCGAAAGACUGAGCCAGCAAGGCCGCGUGAGUGAUGAAGGACUUAGGGUUGUAAAGCUCUUUUACCCGGGAUGAUAAUGACAGUACCGGGAGAAUAAGCUCCGGCUAACUCCGUG